GUAAAGCACUUUCAGUAGUGAGGAAAGGUGUAUAGUUAAUAGCAUUACACUGUGACGUUAGCUACAGAAAGAAGCACCGGCAAACUCCGUGCCAGCAGCCGCGGUAAUACGGAGGGUGCGAGCGUUAAUCGGAAUUACUGGGCGUAAAGCGCGCGUAGGCGGUUAUUUAAGUGAGGUGUGAAAUCCCUGGGCUCAACCUAGGAACUGCAUUUCAAACUGGAUAACUUGAGUAUGUCAGAGGGUAUUGGAAUUUCCCCGUGUAGCAGUGAAAUGCGUAGAUAUGGGAAGGAACAUCAGUGGCGAAGGCGAAUACCUGGGAUAAUACUGACGCUGAGGUGCGAAAGCGUGGGGAGCAAACGGGAUUAGAUACCCUGGUAG
rnacentral:rRNA from 1 species